rnacentral:rRNA from 1 species
UACGGAGGGUGCAAGCGUUACCCGGAAUCACUGGGCGCAAAGGGCGUGUAGGCGGAUCGCUCAGUCUGGUUUUAAAGACCGGGGCUCAACCCCGGGCAUGGACUGGAUACUGGUGAUCUUGACCUCUGGAGAGGUAGCUGGAAUUCCUGGUGUAGCGGUGGAAUGCGUAGAUACCAGGAGGAACACCAAUGGCGAAGGCAGGCUACUGGACAGAAGGUGACGC